UACAGAGGUCUCAAGCGUUGUUCGGAUUCAUUGGGCGUAAAGGGUGCGUAGGCGGCGCGGUAAGUCGGGUGUGAAAUCUUGGAGCUUAACUCCGAAACUGCAUUCGAUACUGCCGUGCUUGAGGACUGGAGAGGAGACUGGAAUUUACGGUGUAGCGGUGAAAUGCGUAGAUAUCGUAAGGUAGACCAGUGGCGAAGGCGGGUCUCUGGACAGUUCCUGACGCUGAGGCACGAAGGUCAGGGGAGCAAACGGG
rnacentral:rRNA from 1 species